rnacentral:rRNA from 1 species
CACAUGCAAGUCGAGCGAAGCACUUUUGCGGAUUUCUUCGGAUUGAAGCAAUUGUGACUGAGCGGCGGACGGGUGAGUAACGCGUGGGUAACCUGCCUCAUACAGGGGGAUAACAGUUGGAAACGGCUGCUAAUACCGCAUAAGCGCACAGUACCGCAUGGUACCGUGUGAAAAACUCCGGUGGUAUGAGAUGGACCCGCGUCUGAUUAGGUAGUUGGUGGGGUAACGGCCUACCAAGCCGACGAUCAGUAGCCGACCUGAGAGGGUGACCGGCCACAUUGGGACUGAGACACGGCCCAAACUCCUACGGGAGGCAGCAGUGGGGAAUAUUGCACAAUGGGGGAAACCCUGAUGCAGCGACGCCGCGUGAGCGAUGAAGUAUUUCGGUAUGUAAAGCUCUAUCAGCAGGGAAGAAAAUGACGGUACCUGACUAAGAAGCCCCGGCUAACUACGUGCCAGCAGCCGCGGUAAUACGUAGGGGGCAAGCGUUAUCCGGAUUUACUGGGUGUAAAGGGAGCGUAGACGGCAUGGCAAGCCAGAUGUGAAAGCCCGGGGCUCAACCCCGGGACUGCAUUUGGAACUGUCAGGCUAGAGUGUCGGAGAGGAAAGCGGAAUUCCUAGUGUAGCGGUGAAAUGCGUAGAUAUUAGGAGGAACACCAGUGGCGAAGGCGGCUUUCUGGA